UACGUAGGUGGCAAGCGUUGUCCGGAUUUACUGGGUGUAAAGGGCGUGUAGCCGGGCUGACAAGUCAGAUGUGAAAUCCGGGGGCUCAACCCCCGAACUGCGUUUGAAACUGUUGGUCUUGAGUAUCGGAGAGGCAGGCGGAAUUCCUAGUGUAGCGGUGAAAUGAGUAGAUAUUAGGAGGAACACCAGUGGCGAAGGCGGCCUGCUGGAUGACAACUGACGGUGAGGCGCGAAAGCGUGGGGAGCAAACAGG
rnacentral:rRNA from 1 species